rnacentral:misc_RNA from 1 species
AACGCACAUUGCGCCCCUUGGUAUUCCGAGGGGCAUGCCUGUUCGAGCGUCAUUACAACCCUCAAGCAAUGCUUGGUAUUGGGCUCCACUGCUCAUCCAGCGGGCCUUAAAAUCAGUGGCGGUGCCAUCGAGCCCUGAGCGCAGUAAAUAUCCUCGCUACAGGGACUCGGUGGACGCUGGCCAUCAACCCCCACUCUCUAAGUUUGACCUCGGAUCAGGUAGGGAUACCCGCUGAACUUAA